UGAGGAACAUGACCUUCGGCGGGGGAUAGCCGGCCCAACGGCCGGGUAAUACCGCGUACGACCACAUGGGGACAUCCCCGAGUGGUGAAAGCAGCAAUGCGCCGAUGGAGUGCCUCGCGGCCUAUCAGCUAGUUGGUGAGGUAACGGCUCACCAAGGCGACGACGGGUAGCUGGUCUGAGAGGAUGGCCAGCCACAUUGGGACUGAGACACGGCCCAGACUCCUAGGGAGG
rnacentral:rRNA from 1 species